rnacentral:rRNA from 1 species
UACGUAGGUGGCAAGCGAUACUCGGAAUUACUAGGCGUAAAGCGCAGGUAGGCGGUUCGGUAAGUCUCUUGUGAAAGCUCCCGGCUUAACUGGGGAGAGGCCAAGGGAAACUACCGGGCUUGAGAGUGGAAGAGGAAGCUGGAAUUCCCGGUGGUAGCGGUGAAAUGACGUAGAUAUCGGGAGGAACACCUAUGGCGAAAGCAGGCUUCUGGUCCAUCUCUGACGCUGAGCUGCGAAAGCUAGGGGAGCAAACAGG